rnacentral:lncRNA from 1 species
AGUAUGCUAUUUCCCUUUCAUUGUUAUUUCCCUUUCUAAUUUAUAAAAAAAAAAAAAAUUUAUAAUAUAUAUUUAUUUUAAGUUGAGUCCCUAGUGUGAAAUUGUUUUAUUAUCUAUUCCCCUCAAUUUUCUUGAGCCAUAACAAAAAUUCAACACACUCAAUAAGUAUAAAGGUUGCUUAUUUUAUCAAACUUGAGUAAAAUUAAG